rnacentral:rRNA from 1 species
UUAAGCGACUAAGCGUACACGGUGGAUGCCCUGGCAGUCAGAGGCGAUGAAGGACGUGCUAAUCUGCGAUAAGCGUCGGUAAGGUGAUAUGAACCGUUAUAACCGGCGAUUUCCGAAUGGGGAAACCCAGUGUGUUUCGACACACUAUCAUUAACUGAAUCCAUAGGUUAAUGAGGCGAACCGGGGGAACUGAAACAUCUAAGUACCCCGAGGAAAAGAAAUCAACCGAGAUUCCCCCAGUAGCGGCGAGCGAACGGGGAGCAGCCCAGAGCCUGAAUCAGUGUGUGUGUUAGUGGAAGCGUCUGGAAAGGCGCGCGAUACAGGGUGACAGCCCCGUACACAAAAAUGCACAUGCUGUGAGCUCGAUGAGUAGGGCGGGACACGUGGUAUCCUGUCUGAAUAUGGGGGGACCAUCCUCCAAGGCUAAAUACUCCUGACUGACCGAUAGUGAACCAGUACCGUGAGGGAAAGGCGAAAAGAACCCCGGCGAGGGGAGUGAAAAAGAACCUGAAACCGUGUACGUACAAGCAGUGGGAGCACGCUUAGGCGUGUGACUGCGUACCUUUUGUAUAAUGGGUCAGCGACUUAUAUUCUGUAGCAAGGUUAACCGAAUAGGGGAGCCGAAGGGAAACCGAGUCUUAACUGGGCGUUAAGUUGCAGGGUAUAGACCCGAAACCCGGUGAUCUAGCCAUGGGCAGGUUGAAGGUUGGGUAACACUAACUGGAGGACCGAACCGACUAAUGUUGAAAAAUUAGCGGAUGACUUGUGGCUGGGGGUGAAAGGCCAAUCAAACCGGGAGAUAGCUGGUUCUCCCCGAAAGCUAUUUAGGUAGCGCCUCGUGAAUUCAUCUCCGGGGGUAGAGCACUGUUUCGGCAAGGGGGUCAUCCCGACUUACCAACCCGAUGCAAACUGCGAAUACCGGAGAAUGUUAUCACGGGAGACACACGGCGGGUGCUAACGUCCGUCGUGAAGAGGGAAACAACCCAGACCGCCAGCUAAGGUCCCAAAGUCAUGGUUAAGUGGGAAACGAUGUGGGAAGGCCCAGACAGCCAGGAUGUUGGCUUAGAAGCAGCCAUCAUUUAAAGAAAGCGUAAUAGCUCACUGGUCGAGUCGGCCUGCGCGGAAGAUGUAACGGGGCUAAACCAUGCACCGAAGCUGCGGCAGCGACACUAUGUGUUGUUGGGUAGGGGAGCGUUCUGUAAGCCUGUGAAGGUGUGCUGUGAGGCAUGCUGGAGGUAUCAGAAGUGCGAAUGCUGACAUAAGUAACGAUAAAGCGGGUGAAAAGCCCGCUCGCCGGAAGACCAAGGGUUCCUGUCCAACGUUAAUCGGGGCAGGGUGAGUCGACCCCUAAGGCGAGGCCGAAAGGCGUAGUCGAUGGGAAACAGGUUAAUAUUCCUGUACUUGGUGUUACUGCGAAGGGGGGACGGAGAAGGCUAUGUUGGCCGGGCGACGGUUGUCCCGGUUUAAGCGUGUAGGCUGGUUUUCCAGGCAAAUCCGGAAAAUCAAGGCUGAGGCGUGAUGACGAGGCACUACGGUGCUGAAGCAACAAAUGCCCUGCUUCCAGGAAAAGCCUCUAAGCAUCAGGUAACAUCAAAUCGUACCCCAAACCGACACAGGUGGUCAGGUAGAGAAUACCAAGGCGCUUGAGAGAACUCGGGUGAAGGAACUAGGCAAAAUGGUGCCGUAACUUCGGGAGAAGGCACGCUGAUAUGUAGGUGAAGUCCCUCGCGGAUGGAGCUGAAAUCAGUCGAAGAUACCAGCUGGCUGCAACUGUUUAUUAAAAACACAGCACUGUGCAAACACGAAAGUGGACGUAUACGGUGUGACGCCUGCCCGGUGCCGGAAGGUUAAUUGAUGGGGUUAGCCGCAAGGCGAAGCUCUUGAUCGAAGCCCCGGUAAACGGCGGCCGUAACUAUAACGGUCCUAAGGUAGCGAAAUUCCUUGUCGGGUAAGUUCCGACCUGCACGAAUGGCGUAAUGAUGGCCAGGCUGUCUCCACCCGAGACUCAGUGAAAUUGAACUCGCUGUGAAGAUGCAGUGUACCCGCGGCAAGACGGAAAGACCCCGUGAACCUUUACUAUAGCUUGACACUGAACAUUGAGCCUUGAUGUGUAGGAUAGGUGGGAGGCUUAGAAGUGUGGACGCCAGUCUGCAUGGAGCCGACCUUGAAAUACCACCCUUUAAUGUUUGAUGUUCUAACGUUGACCCGUAAUCCGGGUUGCGGACAGUGUCUGGUGGGUAGUUUGACUGGGGCGGUCUCCUCCUAAAGAGUAACGGAGGAGCACGAAGGUUGGCUAAUCCUGGUCGGACAUCAGGAGGUUAGUGCAAUGGCAUAAGCCAGCUUGACUGCGAGCGUGACGGCGCGAGCAGGUGCGAAAGCAGGUCAUAGUGAUCCGGUGGUUCUGAAUGGAAGGGCCAUCGCUCAACGGAUAAAAGGUACUCCGGGGAUAACAGGCUGAUACCGCCCAAGAGUUCAUAUCGACGGCGGUGUUUGGCACCUCGAUGUCGGCUCAUCACAUCCUGGGGCUGAAGUAGGUCCCAAGGGUAUGGCUGUUCGCCAUUUAAAGUGGUACGCGAGCUGGGUUUAGAACGUCGUGAGACAGUUCGGUCCCUAUCUGCCGUGGGCGCUGGAGAACUGAGGGGGGCUGCUCCUAGUACGAGAGGACCGGAGUGGACGCAUCACUGGUGUUCGGGUUGUCAUGCCAAUGGCACUGCCCGGUAGCUAAAUGCGGAAGAGAUAAGUGCUGAAAGCAUCUAAGCACGAAACUUGCCCCGAGAUGAGUUCUCCCUGACCCUUUAAGGGUCCUGAAGGAACGUUGAAGACGACGACGUUGAUAGGCCGGGUGUGUAAGCGCAGCGAUGCGUUGAGCUAACCGGUACUAAUGAACCGUGAGGCUUAACCUU